AGAAACGCGCGUCCUGGGCGCACCUGUGUGUCCUCCAGGGCAACGCUGGCUUUGGCAGUGAUAAGACUAGGGGCUCUAGGUCAGCGAUCACCCGGAUUGCGACUUCCGGCUGCUAAAUCAGGCGAGCGGGCGCGGCGGCCGCCAAUCAGCUGACAAGUAGGACUGGAGGGGGCAGUGGACAUCCAGUAGGUGCUGAGGAAGGGUCCCGAUGCACCAGCAGUAGGAGCUGGGCGUGACUGCAGACGGAGACUGAGAGAGGCAAAGGGCCGACAGAGCCUUGGGCUUCUACAGACAUCAUCUCACUUCAUGCUCCCGGAAUUCCCAUCGCAGAGGUGAAGGCACGGAACCUCCCUGAGACUGGGAGACUCACCCAGAGUCGCUUUACUUCAAAAACGAUACAAUGCUCAUCAAAGGUUACUAUGCCAUGUAUUUUUAACGUUGUAAUUCCAGCAUCUAGUUCAGGAGAGGCAUCGAAGAUUUAGUGGAUUGGGAUUUUUUUUUCUUUUUUGCUAAGGAAAGGGCUUGGCGACUAUAAGUGACUUGCCCAAGGGCACACAGGUGAGUGGUAUGGCUGUCCUGCUCCAGAACCAGAGUCAGUACACCCUGCUCAAAGCUCUGCAGACAACACCAGGCGGCUUGAUUUGCUGUAAGCCUCUUAAAACCCAUCCUGAGCAAUUGGUACAGCCUUCGCACACCCCAGUAUUGUUAGAGCAGGCAGGAAGCUGGGUGCCGCCCGCACAAUAGCUUCUCUUUCAUGCCCUCUGAAAGGAGCCCAGAACACUCCAGUCAGACAGCGAGGGAAGGGUGCAGGAGGAAGCCUUCUCUCAGUCAGGCCAGGCCUUGCAGCGCCUCCCCUGUUUCGAUGCGCAGUUUCAAGGUUUCACUUUGGCCAACGCGGUUGCUGUGGGGACGCAGCAACAAAUAUUGGGAGGCUGGUAACCCCUCCCCCAGCCCUCCCCCCAAUCAAGCCUAGUAAAGAAUGUUUGGGGCGAAGCCCCAGCCCAUCAGGCUGCUGUAUGCAGCUCAAUGCAGCCUUUGUGACCGGCCUCCUGGCCUGCCACCAGGCUCCAAAGAGAUGAUUGGACUCAGAUCUUUCUCAAUUGUGUUUGUGUUUCAGUUGUCCACAAGGAGGGGGCGGGGGGACGCUCUACAUAACUCUAAGGAAAUUAUACAGCCUGUGGCUGAUUGUCAAGACAAAAAUGAUGCCAAGUCUUGCUUUGCAAAUGGCAUUCAGGAGAGCCUCGCAGGAACAAGGCAAGUCAGCUCUCCCUGAGAGUGGGACGUGGGACGUGCGGGGAGCUCCCUGCUCUCCCCGGGUCCUCACCCUGCACAGCCAGAGACGCCUGUGCAGUCGCUCCCAGCUCGCAGAUGAGGAAGUCCAUGCUCACAGACGGACCACGAGCUGCCUCAGGUCAUCACGCUAGGUAGUGAGGCUGCUGAGGCUGACAUGUCCCAUCAUUGUGAAGUUUAUUAGUAUUUCGGUAAAAUGUCCUAGAUUUCUGUUGCCAUGGCGGGCGACUUUUCAGAGCCUCUCACCUCGUGCAGAGCCGAGUCAGUCUUGAAAGAAAACGAAUACAGUGAACCAGAGAAAUUAAGCCUCAGCUGGGAGUUAAUUUUCUUGGUUCACGGGAACUUGGUAUGCUUUCUUAUCACUGCAGGCCAGGCGUUUGCGUGAUCUUUCCAGAAUGUGCCAGCCCGCGGAUUACCAUCUGGCUCCAGUUCUGUUUUGGGGGCAAGGAGGUGGGGAAGGAAACUUGACUUAACAGCAGGUGUUACUUUGAGGGCUAGAAAGCUACCAUUGUCUCCUCUGCAAUAAAUGGCCUGGUUUUCACCUGCCAGCAAGGCGCAAAUUCAGCCCCCAUUAAAGUACCAAGUCAUUACUUCAUUAAUUUAGUAAGUCUUUAUUAAAUGCCUACUGAGGGUCAGGCACUGGGCUGGGUACGGGGGACAGAGAAAUGAAUAAUGUUUGUUUAACAAGGAUUGAUUGAAUGUCUGCUCUGUGCUAGGUGCGGUGUUAGGCCCUGGGGACCCUACUCUUUUUGUCUCCUCAGGGAGCUGUUCGUGGAUAAGGCGAGUAAACAGCCACUGGACGCGGGAAAGAUGACUUGUUCACCUGUCAGUACAGGAUGCGAGGGGAAGGACCAGAAAGGGCAGGUUCACCUCCACCCAUGACUCAGUGUAAGAGGCUGAUGGAUUGACCUCAAUGACCCAUGGAGAAAGGUCAUCAGGGAGUUUGUUGGCAAGUAGCAUCACUGGAACUCGAACCAUCUCGUCUUCCCCAGAGCCAAGCCCUUGCUUUGCCACCACACUAGCCUCCUGUCCCACUCCCCAGGGAGGGUCUGUGGCACCCUUCUGAACCCAGACAAGUGACUGGGUCAUGGCUGCCUGCGCAGAGGGGCCUCCCUUCCUGCCCAGCUCCACCUGGACCCAACUCCAGAAGCCACCUGUGUUGUUCUACUGAUAACAGUGUUUGCCCUUCCAAAGCCAGGGCUAUAAACGGCGGCUUUCAAAGUCACUGCGGCAGAAAUGUCAACAUGAGGGGAGGCCAGUCAUGCUUUCUGAAGUGGAAUGUCACCUCUGGGCUGCCUCAAAGGCUGCCAGAAAGAUCUUCGAAGUCCAGGAGCUGGGAGUCUAGACUGGCUUCUACCGUAAAUCUGCUGGGCUGCUUUGGGCAUGUUGCCUACUCUCUCUGGGCCUUGUUUGUCAUCAGUGUAAGGUGAGGGUUGGACUUGAAGACUUUAAUGGGCACUUCUGUCCCUAAAAUGUUUAAUGUCCCCUGCUCUGGAUCCUGGGAGGGGGGAGUUGGGGGGGGCAACACCCGAAUUCCCUGCAGAAUGACUGUGAAAUUCUUCAUGUAACAACCUUCAGAGCAAAACCACCCCCUAAACCUGGAUCUGGCUUUUUUUCAAAACCUCCAACAAUGUCGCCAUUGAAGCAGGAAAGCUACUCAUUAAUAUCUUGUAAAAAGCGAUUUUGUGAUUUUCUUAAUGUAUGAAAGAAAGAAAAAAGCCCCCUGCUCCCGACGCUGGGCCCAGAGCCCCCAGAACAGAAACCACGGUCAGACCGCUAGGAUGCUCCGUCUCUCAGGUGUUUGGACGAAUCGCCCACACUUGAGAACACAAGGCGAUUUUCUUAACUUUUAAAAUGUUUUCUCCUCCCCCCGACCCUUUUCUGGGGUUUUCACCCUUGCUUGUAACUUAAACCACGAAUAAAGCUUUAAGCCUCUGGCUGUGAGGAGCGGAGCAGUGGCUGCCAAGAACAGCGUGGUUCACGUGGGCUCUUUUCUGCGGCUCUGGAAAGCAGCUCUGCA